UGCAGGGAGAGAAGACAUUCUACCAACAGGUCCCACCGCCUUAAAUCUCGUGGUGCCCAGCUGUGAAGAAACAGAGGCACAGGUUGGCUGAUAUGCUCCCAGCUGGGCUGCUCCACAAAGACCUUUGAAGGGUGCCAGGCCGUCCACACAGGACAGCUAGGACGGCUCAGCCAGCUUCUGGAAGUGCCCAAAAAUGGGCACGCACUCCUGGGUCACAGACGUCAGGACAGAGGCAGUGACAGGCAAGGGAGGCUUGGAGCACACACAGCCUGGCCUGACUCAAGUCUGCCUCCAGGCGAUGCCAAACCUCUGCAGGCUUGCUUGGAGUCCUGCUCCCACAGUGUUCUGCUGGGUCGUGGGUACAGCCAGCCCACUGAUGCAGUGAGCUACAGAGAGCACAGCAGCCACAGCACCGUCCUGUCAGUCACCGACUGGUCCACGCCACGGCUCUCCUCACCGCAGGCCAUAAGGGAACCUGGGCAGUCAGCCUGGCUCCCCAGCGGAAAUGUGCAAUCUCCCUCUUGGGUAUGUGGCGGGGACCUCUCCUCAAGAUAGAGGGGGCCACUGAGAAAACAUAAGUGGGACCCACUCCCAGCUCAGAUUCACAUUGUGGGGUCCACAGGGCUGGAGACCAGAUCCCAAAGCACCCCUACGGUGGUUCACAGCAGCCCACACGGGUUGCCACAUUGUGGACAGCUAUACCACAGGUCACCAAGGACCUGCACCCCACCUAGGACACCUACAAAAGCUCAGCACCCUGGGGGAGAAGCUCUUAGAGGUUGUGCAGAAGGUUCAAUGGGUUGGGCCCCUCCUGUCUCCCUCUCCUCACUGGGCCACUGAACAGCAACAGCACGGCAGGCAUUGGAAGGCGUGCCCGCAAGGCUAGUGCCACAAGGUGCCAGCCAGCACUGUGGGCCUCAAGGAUGGUGAGGAGACAGGUGUGGCCAGGGGCUCACACCAGGCCCCAGGUACCUCCAGGGGCAGGUGCAGAGGCAGGAGACUGGCGGAGACUGGACCAGGGCCACCUACUUUUCACUCUUGCCCGGCCAGGGCCACACCCGGGCAACUGUCACUCAGAGUAUCCCUCCACACAUGCAGUCACCAGGGAGUCCACGAAGCACUGACAGGGCUGACGGUGGCUCAGUGAACCUAGCAUGCAGGAAGCCGUGGGACCAUCCCUAACACAAACCAAAUCUGGGGGCUGGAGAGACGGCUCAGAGGUUAAGAGCACCGACUGCUCUUCCAGAGGUCCUGAGUUCAAUUCCCAGCAACCACAUGGUGGCUCACAACCAUCCGUAAUGAGAUCUGGUGCCCUUU